UACGAAGGGGGCUAGCGUUGCUCGGAAUUACUGGGCGUAAAGGGCGCGUAGGCGGGUCGUUUAGUUAGAGGUGAAAGCCCAGGGCUCAACCCUGGAAUUGCCUUUAAUACUGGCGGCCUUGAGUAUGGCAGAGGUGUGUGGAACUCCGAGUGUAGAGGUGAAAUUCGUAGAUAUUCGGAAGAACACCAGUGGCGAAGGCGACACACUGGGCCAUUACUGACGCUGAGGAGCGAAAGCGUGGGGAGCGAACAGG
rnacentral:rRNA from 1 species